AAAAUGAAUCAAAACUUUCAACAACGGAUCUCUUGGUUCUGGCAUCGAUGAAGAACGCAGCGAAAUGCGAUAAGUAAUGUGAAUUGCAGAAUUCAGUGAAUCAUCGAAUCUUUGAACGCACAUUGCGCCCGCCAGUAUUCUGGCGGGCAUGCCUGUCCGAGCGUCAUUUCAACCCUCG
rnacentral:rRNA from 5 species